GAUGAACGCUGGCGGCGUGCUUAACACAUGCCAGUCGAACGGAAAGGCCCAAGCUUGCUUGGGUACUCGAGUGGCGAACGGGUGAGUAACACGUGGGUGAUCUGCCCUGCACUUCGGGAUAAGCCUGGGAAACUGGGUCUAAUACCGGAUAGGACCACUUCUUGGAUGUUGUGGUGGAAAGUUUUUUCGGUGUGGGAUGAGCUCGCGGCCUAUCAGCUUGUUGGUGGGGUAAUGGCCUACCAAGGCGUCGACGGGUAGCCGGCCUGAGAGGGUGUACGGCCACAUUGGGACUGAGAUACGGCCCAGACUCCUACGGGAGGCAGCAGUGGGGAAUAUUGCACAAUGGGCGCAAGCCGGAUGCAGCGACGCCGCGUGGGGGAUGACGGCCUUCGGGUUGUAAACUCCUUUCGCUAGGGACGAAGCGUUUUGUGACGGUACCUGGAGAAGAAGCACCGGCUAACUACGUG
rnacentral:rRNA from 1 species